rnacentral:rRNA from 1 species
AACGAACGCUGGCGGCAUGCCUAACACAUGCAAGUCGAACGAGACCUUCGGGUCUAGUGGCGCACGGGUGCGUAACGCGUGGGAAUCUGCCCUUGGGUUCGGGAAUAACUUCGGGAAACUGAAGCUAAUACCGGAUGAUGACGUAAGUCCAAAGAUUUAUCGCCCAAGGAUGAGCCCGCGUAGGAUUAGCUAGUUGGUGAGGUAAAGGCUCACCAAGGCGACGAUCCUUAGCUGGUCUGAGAGGAUGAUCAGCCACACUGGGACUGAGACACGGCCCAGACUCCUACGGGAGGCAGCAGUGGGGAAUAAUUGGACAAUGGGCGAAAGCCUGAUCCAGCAAUGCCGCGUGAGUGAUGAAGGCCUCGG